AUGAUGCUCUUGGUGUUGCAAAUCCUCUGAUUUGUUACAAAAGGAUCCUUUGCCCCUCCUGGACUAGCUUGGGACACUCUGCUACUCCACCGUCUGCUCUCCUUCCUGUCCCCAUGCCUGCCUGUGACAGCUUCUAUGGUAUCAGCUGCUCCCCAUCAGCUCUGGUUCUGGAAACCACAGAGGUUCAAGGCUGGGCUUGGGAGUCGGAAAUCCCCUGGUUUUAUGACAGGGGUGUGACCUGCACCAGCAAUGUGACCUUGGACAAGUUUCUUCAACCUUUUUUUUUUUUUUUUGGAGACGAAGUUUUGCUCUUGUUGCCCAGGCUGAAGUGCAAUGGUGCAACCUUGGCUCACUGCAACCUCCGCCUCCCAGGUUCAAGCAAUUCUCCCGCCUCAGCCUCCCGAGUAGCUGGGAUUACAGGCUCCCAGCACCACGCAUGGCUAAUUUUUUUGUAUUUUUAGUAGAGACGGGGUUUCACCGUGUUGGCCAGGCUGGUCUCGAAUUCCUGACCUCAGGUGAUCCACUCACCUCGGCCUCCCAAAGUGUUGGAGUUUUUUUUAACCUUUUUACGCUCAACUUUUCUCAUCUAUAAAACAGGGAUGAUGAUAUCUACCUCAUGGUGUUAUGGUGAGGAUUAAAGGAGAUAAAGCUCAGAACGUGUCUGACUCAUAUUUUGGUAGCAGAGAAGAGAGGAAGAUCUUGAAGGUCCUGAUGAGGCCAGGUGAAUUCUAAGAACCUUGGGCCUCAUCUCCCUCCCACUCUGCCCUCACAAGGCUGGCUCAGUCUUGAUAGCUGAUGUGUAGAGUGUGUGGGAGAAGGUCGGGCUGGGACUCACUCUGGUCAGAUCCAUCUGUCUUCUCAUCUCCAAGGCUGCUGUGAUGGGAACAGCAGGAAUCUCUUCGCCGCUGUGUCUACCCCAGUGUGGUUAUUCAAUGUUGGUGGCCUCUAAAUGCUAGAAAAAGGACAUUUUCUUCCUUGCAGACAUCCUGGGAUAAAGGAAGACAGUGGUUCCUAAGGGCAUCAGACACGGUGGGAGGGAAGGGUGCAGAUGGCAUGUUAGUUUGUGUUGGCUGCCAAAGCAAAUACCACAGACCACAUGACUUAAAACAGAA
rnacentral:lncRNA from 1 species